GCAAACUUGGUCAUUUAGAGGAAGUAAAAGUCGUAACAAGGUUUCCGUAGGUGAACCUGCGGAAGGAUCAUUAGUGAACUACAAGAUACACUAUCAUCUUGAGAACACCAGCCGCGUUCCUGUACCUGUUGCUUCCGUAAAUGGACAACACUUGGUUGUUGCAAUCCUUAAUGGCAUUUACGGGCAGCAUUUGUUCUUUUCCAAUAUCAUUUUAACCAGUAUCUUGUCUGAAUGCUAUGGUGAAUAGACAAUAUUGAAAACUUUCAACAACGGAUCUCUUGGUUCUCGCAUCGAUGAAGAACGCAGC
rnacentral:misc_RNA from 1 species